rnacentral:rRNA from 1 species
AGAACGAACGCUGGCGGCAGGCUUAACACAUGCAAGUCGAACGCACCGCAAGGUGAGUGGCAGACGGGUGAGUAACACGUGGGAACGUACCCUUUGGUUCGGAAUAACCCUGGGAAACUAGGGCUAAUACCGGAUACGGCCGAGAGGCGAAAGGUUUACCGCCGAAGGAACGGCCCGCGUCCGAUUAGCUUGUUGGUGAGGUAAUGGCUCACCAAGGCUACGAUCGGCAGCUGGUCUGAGAGGAUGACCAGCCACAUUGGGACUGAGACACGGCCCAAACUCCUACGGGAGGCAGCAGUGGGGAAUAUUGGACAAUGGGCGCAAGCCUGAUCCAGCCAUGCCGCGUGAGUGAUGACGGCCUUAGGGUUGUAAAGCUCUUUUACCUGGGAAGAUAAUGACGGUACCAGGAGAAUAAGCCCCGGCUAACUUCGCGCCAGCAGCCGC